rnacentral:rRNA from 1 species
AUUGAACGCUGGCGGCAGGCCUAACACAUGCAAGUCGAGCGGAUGAAGGGAGCUUGCUCCUGGAUUCAGCGGCGGACGGGUGAGUAAUGCCUAGGAAUCUGCCUGGUAGUGGGGGAUAACGUCCGGAAACGGGCGCUAAUACCGCAUACGUCCUGAGGGAGAAAGUGGGGGAUCUUCGGACCUCACGCUAUCAGAUGAGCCUAGGUCGGAUUAGCUAGUUGGUGGGGUAAGGGCCUACCAAGGCGGCGAUCCGUAACUGGUCUGAGAGGAUGAUCAGUCACACUGGAACUGAGACACGGUCCAGACUCCUAAGGGAGGCAGCAGUGGGGAAUAUUGGACAAUGGGCGAAAGCCUGAUCCAGCCAUGCCGCGUGUGUGAAGAAGGUCUUCGGAUUGUAAAGCACUUUAAGUUGGGAUGAAGGGCAGUAAGUUAAUACCUUGCUGUUUUGACGGUACCAACAGAAUAAGCACCGGCUAACUUCGUG